ensembl:lncRNA
CGUCUAGAGGAAGUAUAUAUGUACAUCAGGCAGGCUGCUGCUGCUUCAGAGCUGUGUGUGCUCAGUCUCCUUUUUUGGAAAUGUAAAAUUAAAGAUCAUUUUUUGAGUUAGACCACUUUGAGCCAUGUUUUUCUUUGCCACCAAAAGAAUGCAAAGAACUGAAUUUAAUAAUUGGUGCAGUGACCCGGAUUCUUUUGCGGCUGAGAGGACUAAUUCGGAGCUUAAGGUGACCCAGGUGAUUGAUAUAUGCAUUUUUUUUCUGUUUUUCUUCUUUUUUUUCUUUUUCUGCUCAUUCUGUUGGUUUUUGGUUUUUGCCCUUCUCCCCCGUCCCUCUUCUCAGCUGUUUCUCUUUCCCUCUUUCUUUCUCCCCUUCUUUCCCCCAGUCAAGUCUGUCCCAUGUUCAGUAAGUGAAAAUAAAAUAAACAAUAAAAGGUGAAUCAAAUGGACCAUUAUGGCAAGGCUGGGAUGGUCAAUUUGGUAAAGUAAAUCCGUUGGGCAUCUUUCUUUGCCUUUAGACAACAAUUCUGAUGGCAAAAGAGCCAAACGGGACAGGCCAAAAAAAAAAAGAAAAAAAAAGUGUGUGCAUGUGUGUGUGUACUGAGGGUCCAUUCUUUUUAUAUUAACACGUAGCAGAGUUACAUAGGGUCUAUAGACUGUAAAUAUAAAAUAAGAGUUCGGUUAGGUUGUAGAUGAAAAUUUACUGAAGAGAAGAGUGUGUGUGUGUGUGUGUGUGUGUGUGUGUGUGUGUGUGUGUGUGUGUGUGUGUGUGUGUGUGUGUGUGUGUCUGGCAGGAAGUGAACAAGCUUGCAUGCCCAUAAAAGGAAACUGGCUGAUAUGUGGAGUGUGCAAUCAGAGAGAGAGAGACGUGUUAAAAAUCUAGGUAGUGUUAAGAAAUGGUAAUGAAAAUGAUAUUAAAUAAAUGUUUUAGUGUGUCAAUACAGGUGGACUCUUCUCAACUUGAAAACAAGCUUAAAGGACAGUCAGUCUCCUGAUGAAGACAGAAGACAGACAGAACACCGUGUACUCGAAGAAUUAACAGCAGGCAAAAAGACAGUGCAACUGACCUAUAACACUGAAGACUCCAGC